rnacentral:rRNA from 1 species
UAGGGAAUCUUCGGCAAUGGGGGGAACCCUGACCGAGCAACGCCGCGUGAGUGAAGAAGGUUUUCGGAUCGUAAAGCUCUGUUGUUAAGGAAGAACGAGUGUGAGAAUGGAAAGUUCAUACUGUGACGGUACUUAACCAGAAAGGGACGGCUAACUACGUGCCAGCAGCCGCGGUAAUACGUAGGUCCCGAGCGUUGUCCGGAUUUAUUGGGCGUAAAGCGAGCGCAGGCGGUUAGAUAAGUCUGAAGUUAAAGGCAGUGGCUCAACCAUUGUAGGCUUUGGAAACUGUUUAGCUUGAGUGCGGAAGGGGGGAGUGGAAUUCCAUGUGUAGCAGUGAAAUGCGUAGAUAUAUGGAGGAACACCGGUGGCGAAAGCGGCUCUCUGGUCUGUAACUGACGCUGAGGCUCGAAAGCGUGGGGAGCGAACAGG